UCGAAGGAUUCGAAUAUGGCAAAUGAAUGUACACAAAUAUACCUGCUGACUAAUCUCGGGAUUUUGUGUAUUUUUGUUUUUGCAACAAUCGAGACACCACUGUUUGUAGCGAUGGCCUUGUAACAAGUAUUGCUUCUCAUUGUGGCCGUGUAAACGUUGACGAAUGGAUCGACACGCGCUUGGAAACGUUAAUAUUAACCAACGCGAAAUUGAAAUUGUGUGAUUUCAUCAUAUUCUUAAUCACUAUCUUUUUUUAGAAAUUUUCUAAACGAAAUAAUACGUAAUAAUCGAAUCGAAGGAGCAUUCAUUUUACGUUUUACUUCGAUUUGGAAAUAUCCUUUUAAUUAUCGAUUACGUUUCUUCUUCGACCAAUAAAAGUCAAAUACUUGGAGAUGCUUUCAAGAUGCUAAAAAAAGACACUGCUAGUACUAAGAAACUCAAAUCCAGCUAUAGCAAAUUAAUCUUGUUUCAAAUUAAAUUUAAUUAAUUUUCUAAAAGGUUGUCGAUUUAUGCUACGUCGAUAAUUUAAUUAACGGUAUCAAUUUCGGUGAAAUGUAUUUUACCUUCGUGGAAUUCGUAUCGGUAUUAUGAAUGCAUGAAAGUCCGACUCACCCACCGAAUAACCACAAAAUACAAGUGACACACGAAGGGUUACGAAGCAUCACGAAGUGACCCGAAUAAGGUUCUACGGGACGUUAAAAAGUGAAAGUCACGAAGGCUGAAUAACGUCAGAAGAAUCUUCCAAUGUGAAUGAUUCAUUCUUCCUUCAAUGAAUACGAAAUUCAUCGAAUUAUUGGAUAGGAACUAACAAACUUGUAAAAUUUCCAAUAAAUUUGAAGUUUUCGGAUAUCGAAGUUACAAACAAAACAACAUUUCGAUCGGUUUACAAUGCUCGACGAAUAAACAACGAAAAAAACGAAAAAAAAAAAAGAUAAAAAGUAUUUAAAAAAAAACAAAUUGACAAAGGAAAAGGGAAACCAAAAAUAGAGAAAAACACAUCGAAUGCAACGAUAUAAAACGAGAACUAUUCGAUGAAAGAGGUUGUAGAUUGGAGUAAAUUCACUUUAUUACUUCAUGAGUAAGCAAGAGACAAGGGAAGCGAGUAGUUUAUUGAGAAUUACUGUGAUAAAUAAGGCGGGAGCAAGCAGUGGAAGAGGUUACACCGAAGAGUGGGGAAUGGCAACGCGAGGAGAACGAUCUCCACUCCAUGGAUACUCCUCGUAAUGUGUACCGUAUGCAGCUACAUCUACACGCAUACGCUAGCAUCUCCGAGUGCAUACGUUUACGCGUGUUCAUGUAAACGUUCUCUCUCCUUUCUCCUUCUCUCUCUCUCUCUCUCUCUCUCUGUCCCCUCCCUUCUAUCCCCACUCCAUUUCUAUACGCGCGCGUGUAUUUAUAUGAUACACUAUUCAAGUGCGCGUGCGGAGAAUUCAGUUUCGUAUGUGCACACGAACGAUACGUAUACAGACGGUGUUUCACGAAUAGGAUUACACUCGUCCAACAUUAAAUAGACUCUUGUAUUCGCGAUAAAGUUAUUUUUACGAUCGUCGUGAAGACAUUCGUCGAGUUAUCCUUCAUGAAAAAGCAUCAGCAACAAUUUCAGUUGCAACCGACUAGGUGGAGAGAACCAGGCAAAGGAGUGUGAGAAUAGGUGAAAGAAAUGCAUUCGAGGCAUGUAAUCCGUUUAUAUUCCCUGUGAUUGACCGUCCUCCCAUCAGUCCCUGUUACACGAGAACGUAACUCUUCGUUGAAAUGUUUCCCGCCCAUUGUAACAGAAUGAAAUAUGCAUACAAGACGAAAAUAAUAGGAAAGUUUUUGUCCGUAUUAUUCAUAAUUUCAAUUUGUUCAAAUUUGAAUUUAACAAGAUAAGUUUUAUCGUAAUAAUCCGAAUCAUUUAAAUUUUUUAACGAUUUAAUUUACGUUCGAUAAUUUGUAAUAAUUCAUUAUUUGUUUUCAGUAAUUUAUCAUAACGAUAAUAAUUUUACGUCUCGGUUUAUCCUUUAUAAAUGGUUACAUUUCUCAUCUUUACGAGGUUACGUUUUAAUUACAAUCCCGAGUUUCUACAAAGCUGAUAAAGUUUAAAUGGAAGCACGCAUCGUAAAAAAAAAAGAAACGAAAAGAAAAGAAAAGAAAAGGAAAAAAAGGUACAAUAUAUCUUUAGUAACAUUUAUUGAAACUCUCCACGGAAAUCAUGACACGUAUGAUGACGAAUAGGUUUUAUUUUCUCGGCCGAUCGAAAGAGGCGGGGAUGGAAUCUGGAACUUCACCCUCCGCCCGUCAAAAGUAAAUAAAAGUUCUGUCUCACACCGUGGUAUUCAAAAGUUCUGACAGGCUAAAGAAUACUACAAAACCUCGAUGAACUCGUUUCAAACUAUAUAAUAUUUUGUGAAAGUUAGCCUUUCUCUAAUUCAAUUAACGAAUAAUAACCAAUGCGUCUCUCUGACAUUUUAAUUUUAUUCUAAUUUUCAAUAUCUCUAAUAUUUUCUUAUUCAUUUUGUCUCUUUUGCCCUCUUGAUUUUAUUUUAUUUCUCAUUUCUUUUAUCGAUCGAUACACGGGAAAUAAAAUUUUUUAAAUAUAAUUUACAGGAUAAAAUACAAGAUAUACAGGAAGUAGUAAGUAAAUAAAACACCUCGAACAAGUAGUACCUGCUACAUGAUAUACGACCGAUCUUUCACGUUCCCGUGCCGGUUGAUAACUCGAUUUGUCAAUAUCAGACGGGGACACUAUCGAAUUUAUUUUUUUUUUAUACAAAUCCCGAUUCACCGUCGCAAAGUAAAUUCUUUCGCCUCGUGUGACGAGAACUCCACGGUACGAUUUCAUAUUCCAACGAAGGAAAGUAUUUUGCAUAAUUUAUUUCGCUGCAACUUCUUUUCCACCUUGCGUCGCCCUUUUCCGCCCACCCCCGCCCAACGCGGUCGCCAUCCCCCCCCCCCUCCCUCCACGUUGCUUGUUACAAACCACGCCCCCUUCUUUUCGAAUCCCUCUUUUCGAAUCCUUUUUGUUUCCGUCAACGUUGUGAAACUAUUGAGAUCGAUCGUUCUUCCAUUUCAUUCAUUCUCCAAUUCCUUCUUGGAAUUCUCUACAAGGUCGUCCCGAAUAAAAGUUCCCGCCAAUGAUGGACAUUGUCUGGUUUUUUGAUUAAAAAAAAAAAAAAGAAAAAAGAAAAGAACGAAAGAAAGGGAAAUAUUUGAUUUGGAAUUUUAGAGAUUAACGAUCUGCAGAUUUAUGAAGUUAGCAUCCCAGAGACGAGGGAGUAAUUACGUAAAAUUACAUAAUACCGUUAAUGACGUUUAUGCCACGAGAAAUUAGGUUCAUCACGGACAAAUUUAGCACAGUUAUGGAUCCCUGUAUUGUCCCCUUAAAUGGGCUGCUAUUAAUUGAGAUUAAUAAAACACCAUCAAUUGUGAUAGCUGUUAAUCAAUCGAUAAUAUUUUUAUUAAAGUCGUGAUAUACGCCUAUAUGUUUAUAUAUGUUAAUAGUUUGAAUAUUGGAUGUCCAAAUUCAUGAAAAAUAUUUUUUAUUUCCCCUUUAAGUUUGAAGAUCGUUCUUACAAAAGUGAACAUAUAUUAAUAAUAAUACAGAUUUUUAUCCCAGACAUCUUUUUUUAAAUCUCACCAGGGCAAAAAAUAUCCAUGUUCAAAGGGUUAACUCAACAAUUUCCGUUCACAAGCACGAACAGUAUAAGUAAAAGCACAAUCGGGCGAACUCGAUCAAACACGCGAAGACAAACGAGUCAUUUAUAAUGACUUGCGACAUUUGACACGAAAUAUGAGAGAUCAAAGUAUGAUACAAUAAUUUGUAUGAAUAUGUAAUUGAAAAAGAAAGAAAUAAAGAAAGAAAAUUAACAUCGAGUAAGUAAGCUUACUUAUCGCUUACUUUUAUUUAUUCGCAAAUAAAUUCUCAAACGUUCGCAUUCAAAGUCGUCGGUAUGCGAGGAAUUCUUAGGAAUAAAUAGAAGCAUUCAAGAAUCUCAUCAGAAGAAAGUUUCACGAAGUAAUUGUGGCUAGUAAUUUUUAUUAUUACCGUUAAUUAUCGCAAAAACAAAGAAAACUUUAUGGACCACGAAUGAAACUUUAUUCAACGAAACUUUAUUUGCUCGUUCAUUUAUUCAUCGCUAGCUAGAAAGUAAUUCGAUAACUUGGCUUCGAACUUGGUAUCGAUGACAAGGUUAGAAAAAAAAAAAAAGAGCACUCGAGCGGGGAAUUUUUUUUCCCCUAGACGCGCGGCACGCGUCGCGGGGCAACCAAGCGACAACGUAAUUUAUCCAUUCGGAUAUCCCCCUCGAACGAGCGUUUGUAAGAAAAACAGCAAACUUUUCCGCCGGUGGCACGUGUACGCGCUUGUUGUAAACUUCGCACCGCAUAAAAGCAUGUAAAUUGCAGCUCGCGUGUACGUGCUUGGCGUAAAGCUUCCAGAGAGCACUUCGUUUUCGCAUUUAACCAACCUCAUUCUUGUUUGAUCAGCCCUGCCAUAGCUUCGAAUCGCUUUGAACGCAUUUUAGUCAAACUUUUACAAACUAUUUCUGCAAUAUCCUUCUCAAUACAGUGUUCAUAAUAAUGUUAAUAUCUAUAUUCGCGAGAUAUUUUUGGAGGGGCUAAAAACGGUAUACAAAAAUAUAGAUAAUCGAGGCUUGUUUAUUAAAUUAUGAGCAAUUUAAGUUUUCGUUAGAUGAAAGGAGAGCGGAUGAUGCGACAGAGAUGGAACUGUUUCACUCUGUCUUCGUCUCGUUUCGUAUUUUGACUCCUAUCCAUUGAGAUAUUUAUUACAAAAGUUCGUAUAAUUAUUUACCAAUUCGUGCAUAUAUCACUUGAAACUAUUUUUCUAAUUUCGUUAAGUAAGUAUCUUACCUAAACGGCAGAUCCUUACUAUCGUUCCCCCGUAAAAUAGAAAAUAAAAAAUGUUCAGUAAUACCUGAAACAGAAAAUAAAAGAACUGCAUUAAUUAAGAGGAUAUAACGAUACAAGUUUUCAAGUAAAACUUCUGCACUAUUUCGAUCGAAGUCGUAACUUUGAACACUUUAUUCAGAGGAAGAACAAUUUUAUCGAUGUUCCACGAUAGAGAAUUCGAACAAAUCCGAAAAUGAUUGCAAAAGAAGCUACGAUUGCGGAAGGUGGAAUUCUCAGUAAAAUGGACAUUUGAGCCACGGAAAAAGGGACUUUAAUUACGUUGCUGGUUCACAUCGAACUUCUUACCGAGUCUUGAAUCGAUUUUUCUUCUUCUUUUCUUGAAUUAAUCCUUUUGCGGUCCUGUGUUGUACCAGUCUCUGUGAUUCUGUUUUUAUUAAAAUCUCUACGUGCUUAUUUAAUACAAACAAAUUGUUAUGAAAUAUAUUUCAUGACUCUUGAAUAUGGAAGAAUUGAUAAAAAUGAAUGGAAGUUAAAGAUUAAUUUUGCACCUUGUUAAAAUUUAAUUGCUCAAUUAUGACACGACAAAAAAUUAAAUUCAUAUUGAUCGAUAAAAUUUAAUAGAGAGAAGGAAAUUGGUAUUAAUCAUUCAUAAUAAUUCCGGAAGAAAUAUAAAUAUAAAAUAUACAAACGAAAUUAUUUCAUAACAGAUUCACGAAAAUAUGUUCAUAGAAUCGUAGGAUUAUUAAAUUUUCAUAAGCAAUGCAACAUCGUUUGAAUUCUGUAAACGUCGAGAAAUUUUAGAUAGAAAGGGAAGAAAAGAAGAGAAAAUGUUCGUGGAUCAAGAAUGGUUAUUCUCAUCCGAAUGUCGUGUCGCGAAAAUCGAGAUGAGCGACUUCCAUUUCGCUAUUGCUCAUUCCACCUUUUCAGCGGCUGUGUCAAGACACGAAAUUCUCGAAAUAGACGGCACCACGAGCGAGAGAAACGUGAAACAGAGAGGGGAAGAGGAACGAAGAUGAAAAUUCGACCAAGAAUCUUCUAAUCCAAUCCAAUUCAUCGUUGAAAAGAUUGUAUUUGACGUCGGCUGCGUUAUAUACGCUUACUGAUGAAUACUUUUUCAAUUUUCAAACUUCUAUAUUUGUAAUAUUAUUUUGAAUGCUUUUACUUAAAAUUCUUUUCGAUAAAUAUUACAAACGAGAUAUAAAAGAUUUUGAAAUAAAUGUACAUGUAUUAUGUAAUCAA